AUUGAACGCUGGCGGCAUGCCUAACACAUGCAAGUCGAGCGAGCAGCGGACGGGUGAGUAAGGUAUGGGGACCUGCCCGAUAGACCCGGAUGACUACUGGAAACGGUGGCUAAUACCGCAUACUAUCGGUUGAACCCACACGGGAUUAGCUAGUAGCUGGGGUAAAGGCUCACAUAGGCGACGAUCUCUAGCUGGUCUGAGAGGGUGAUCAGCCACACUGGGACUGAGACACGGCCCAGACUCCUACGGGAGGCAGCAGUAGGGAAUAUUGCACAAUGGGCGAAAGCCUGAUGCAGCCAUGCCGCGUGAGUGAAGAAGGUCUUAGGGUCGUAAAGUUCUGUCAGUGGGGAGGCGGUACCCGACGAGGAAGCAACGGCUAACUCCGUGCCAGCCGCCGCGGUAAUAC
rnacentral:rRNA from 1 species